rnacentral:rRNA from 1 species
CGCGUAGGCGGGUUUAUAAGUCGAUUGUGAAAUCCCCAGGCUCAACCUGGGAACUGCAGUCGAAACUGCAAAUCUUGAAUGUUCGAGGGGUUGGUGGAAUUCUAGGUGUAGAAGUGAAAUUCGUAGAUAUCUGGAGGAACACCGGAGGCGAAGGCGGCCAACUGGCGAAACAUUGACGCUGAGGCGCGAAAGCGUGGGGAAGCAAACA